rnacentral:lncRNA from 1 species
CCAAAAUGAGAGGACCUUUCACAUUCUGUCUAAUCUUUCAGGGUAGAAAAAUUCUUCAAGCAAAGUGAGUUCCUUUGAAUGCAUUCAGAUCUUACUGGAAGCUGAAUACACACUGCUGACCUACAUACAGCAAGACUCUUCAUGGAAAUCAUUAAAGACUCAAUGAAUCUUACAGAUACCAUAAUAACAGGUAGUGACAUGGUCACGUAUAUGGCACUGAGGAAUCCCCUCCAUUAUGUUCAGUUCAGUCAGUCAACGUGUGACAAAAAUAUAUAACUGUGGCUGCAAAUGCUGGAAUUCUGCUACGCUGAUGCCUGUUCUUAUCUGAUGCCCAGCCCAUCCUGCCCACUGGAGUGCCAGCAGACACAGCACAGUGCCUCACCAGAGGCUGCAAAUUCCCUGGCAAAUUGCAGUUGGGAACCUGUGUAG